AUCCAGUGCGAAUCUUGGGUA
rnacentral:siRNA from 1 species